AAAGAGAAAUGGAGGAUAGAAAGGGGGAGAAGAGGGAGGCGGCGCGGUGGGUGCCACUGCCACCGUCGUCGCCGUUGCUAGCCGAGGGGAAGGGAGAUCUGGGCGAGCACGAAGAGAGAGAGAGAGAGCUCGCGAAACAGGGAGA